UCCCAGCAGUCCAAGUCGCAGCCACAUUUGUUGGGUCUAAAACAUCCGUAGCUCGCCUAGUAAGUUCUUGGUGAAAUCGGGCCUCUUAAGGGUCCGGCGUGCCUAGAAUACUGCUUGGCUAGGGACCGGGAGGCGUAAGAAGUAUGAUGGGGGUAGCGGUAAAAUGUGUUGAUCCCCAUUAGACUAACAGUCGCGAAGGCGUCUUACGAGAACGGUUCCGACAGUGAGGGAUGAAGGCUAGGGGCGCAAAGUGG
rnacentral:rRNA from 1 species